AAUCCAUGGUGAGGACAUCUUCUCAUCAAAUACUUAUACCUAUCCCAAGCCUCAUAUAGUGAUUUAGAAUCAAAUUGCAUGAAAGAAGUGAUAUCAUUCUGCAUCU
rnacentral:snoRNA from 1 species